GAUGAACGCUGGCGGCGUGCUUAACACAUGCAAGUCGAACGAAGCACUUAUGAUUGAGAUUUCGGUUGAUUGAUUAAGUGACUUAGUGGCGGACGGGUGAGUAACGCGUGGGUAACCUGCCUUGUACAGGGGGAUAACAGUUAGAAAUGACUGCUAAUACCGCAUAACCCGCUAAGGUCGCAUGACCUAGACGGAAAAGAUUUAUCGGUACAAGAUGGACCCGCGUCUGAUUAGCUAGUUGGUGAGGUAACGGCCCACCAAGGCGACGAUCAGUAGCCGGUCUGAGAGGAUGAACGGCCACAUUGGGACUGAGAUACGGCCCAG
rnacentral:rRNA from 1 species